CUUCAGCGAGCCCAGCCACAGGGGGGCUUCGCCGGAGCGGUCCUGGCCGUACGUGGCGAGGACGGCGUGCGCCUC
rnacentral:antisense_RNA from 1 species